rnacentral:lncRNA from 1 species
CCCAUCCUAUAACUUCUGAACAAGUCCCACCUUCUCCAAAAUCAAGGCUGACUGGCAGAUUCUGCAGAGUCUUCUUUUUUGCAAGAAAAGCAUCUUCAGGUGAACAAAUCUAGGAGGUGGAGCAAUGCCGUGGACCUAGUUGUGAGGACUCUCGGGGAGGGAGGAGGCUCUUUGGAGAUGCAUCUACAGGAGUGGACAUCCUGCAGUGUCAGGGGUUUAAAUUAAACUGGGAGGAGGGGAGAGAGCAGCCCCRCCGCCCGCCGCCCGCCCGCAGUGCUGGUUCCUGGCAUCAUUUAGGUGCAGGGACCCAGAUGACACUUCUGAUUUUGGGUCCUGCCUUUCCAGCAGCAGUCUGCAACUUGCCGGUUUCCGGGCAGGACGGCAGCCGCUGAGCAGAAAGCAGAGUUACGCUGCAGUCCCAGCAACCUGGUUUAGCUGCAGAGGCUCUCGCCGCGCCGCCGUCCUCUCUACCCUUGCCGGAGUCUGAGUGUCUGAUCCUCACCCGAGGACUGCUCCAAGCACCCCGCCACGCACGGAGCCCCAUCUCCUUGCCCACCUACCCCCUGCAAAGGACCCCGGUGAAGGAGCUGCCGCUGCGCGCGCGCCGUCGGUUUGAAGCAAGCCCAGCUCUCCACAUACCGGGUUGGAGAGACACUUCUCCUGUCCCCGGAGCCCGACGGUGUGAGCAGGAGGGAGGAUGGAGCACGGGGCCCUGCCUGGGCUUGCCUGGGCUUGUUCAGAGCUGGGCUGCUUUGCCUGGCGACCUCGCAGAUCUGGGGCAUUUGGAGAUGUUUCGGGAGCUUGCAGCCAAGAACCAGGGCAGGAGGGACCUGGAAGCCUGGGCCACCUGCUCCCAGCGCCAAGGGGGAGCACAGCWAACUCCAGGCCGAGGCUGUGGGCAGCAGUGACACUGGUGGCUCAUGAUAAAGGCUCCCCAAGGAACCCCAGCUGACAACCCACUGGCUCCUCCCCCAGACGCCCACUUGGGGCCACUGUACUGUGGCCACCUGUCUGCCAUGGCAUCAGGAGCUGGACCCAGCCUGCAGAGGACCCGGAGGGAAGACACCGGGUGGCUUCUCAGGUCUCAGACAUGGCACGGUUGUGGCCUCCAGAAGUUGUGAUGACCCCCGAGUGGGUCCCGUGCCUUAUUCCCUUGGCUCUGACACUGAACCCCGGGUGCUCUGCUUCUCUGUCCCAUCGUUCUCAAAUCUGUCCUUCCAGAAACUCAUCUGAAUGAGCCGGGCUUGGUGGUGCACAGUUGUAAUCCAGCAGCUCCGGAGGCUGAGGCAGGAGGAUCAGGAGUUCAAAGUCAGUCCCAGCCAUUUAGUGAGGUCCUAAGUAACUCAGUGAGACCCCCCA